GAAAGUCGGGCUUAGUGACCUUCUGGUCCCGCGUGGAAGGGCCAGGAAUCAUCGGAUAAAAGCUACCCCGGGGAUAACAGGCUUAUGACGCCCAAGCGUUCACAGCGACGGCGUCGUUUGGCACCUCGAUGUCGGCUCGUCGCAUCCUGGGGGGGCAGUACCUCCCAAGGGUUGGGCUGUUCGCCCAUUAAAGCGGUACGCGAGCUGGGUUCAGAACGUUGUGAAACAGUUCGGUCUCUAUCCAGUGUGCGCGCAGGUGAGUUGAGAGGAGCUGCCCCCAGUACGAGAGGACCGGGGUGGGCGGACCGAUGGUGUACGAGUUGUCCUGCCAAGGGCACUGCUCGGUAGCUAUGUCCGUUCCGGAUAACCGCUGAAAGCAUCUAAGUGGGAAGCCGACCUCGAGAUGAGCUCACCCUCUGGGCAACCAGGUAAGACCGCAGGUAGAGAACCUGUUUGAUAGGCGGCAGGUAGAAGGGUCGCAAGAUCCGUAGCUGAGCCGUACUAACGGUCGAGGGCUUGACCUA
rnacentral:rRNA from 1 species